rnacentral:rRNA from 1 species
UACAGAGGUCCCAAGCGUUGUUCGGAUUCACUGGGCGUAAAGGGUGCGCAGGUGGGUUUGCAAGUUUGAUGUGAAAGCCCCGGGCUUAACCCGGGAAUGGCAUUGAAUACUGCAGAUCUGGAGGAUUGGAGGGGGGACUGGAAUUCUUGGUGUAGCAGUGAAAUGCGUAGAUAUCAAGAGGAACACCAGUGGCGAAGGCGAGUCCCUGGACAACUUCUGACGCUGAGGCACGAAAGCUAGGGGAGCAAACAGG